rnacentral:rRNA from 1 species
UACGUAGGGGCAAGCGUUGUCCGGAUUUAUUGGGCGUAAAGAGCGUGUAGGCGGCUUUGCAAGUCCGUUGUGAAAACUCGAGGCUCAACCUCGAGACGCCGGUGGAAACUGCAAAGCUAGAGUCCGGAAGAGGAGAGUGGAAUUCCUGGUGUAGCGGUGAAAUGCGCAGAUAUCAGGAAGAACACCCGUGGCGAAGGCGGCUCUCUGGGACGGUACUGACGCUGAGACGCGAAAGCGUGGGGAGCGAACAGG